UACGUAGGGUGCGAGCGUUGUCCGGAAUUAUUGGGCGUAAAGGGCUCGUAGGCGGUUUGUCGCGUCGGGAGUGAAAACGCCGGGCUUAACUCGGUGCUUGCUUUCGAUACGGGCAGACUAGAGGUAUGCAGGGGAGAACGGAAUUCCUGGUGUAGCGGUGAAAUGCGCAGAUAUCAGGAGGAACACCGGUGGCGAAGGCGGUUCUCUGGGCAUGUCCUGACGCUGAGGAGCGAAAGUGUGGGGAGCGAACAGG
rnacentral:rRNA from 1 species